GAUGUAAAGAGCAUGAUGCCAUGGACAAAAUGGGCCCUCAGUGACUAUCCGAUGCAGGGCCAGGCACUGAAUGCAGAUGCAUAUACUGGAGCUCAGAGGAUUUCAGUGAGUUACCCCGGCCACAGCCAGUGAGCAGCGAUGUCAAGAUGUCUUGAAUCCUGGGCCUCAGCUGCAAAGCCGUAACCAGUCCUCUGUGUUCCCAUGGGCCAGUGCUUUACAAAGGUCCUUGCAGGUUAGGAGGAAGGGGAAAUCUAAACACAGGCCUGCCCAGCACCUGCGGAGCGAAUCCCAGUCCUGAGCACCAGGCAUAGGAAGGAAGUGUCUUCAGAAGAGAAAGGAGAAGGAGUGGGCGAAUUUGCCAGUCCAGAUUAGGCUAGAAAGAGUUUACAUUCCAUAUUCAACAUGUAUUUACCUGUGAGCUGCCAGUCCUGUGCCAGGGCUUGCGGGCUCAGAGAUACAAGAACACACGGAUGAGAGGCUUUCAUUUCCGUGGGAGCUGUCUAAAGCCAGGGGAGCUUUGGCAGAGGUCUGCUUGGGCCCUCCAGGAAGAGAAGAGAAUCAUGCCAGGUUAGGCUGGUGGUCCCAGAGGAGGAUAAGAGGCUUAUGGAGCAGAGUUGCCUAAUCAGGCCCAGCCAAGAUCAGCAGACCCUCAACCAAUACAUAGACACACGAACCAGAUAAAUGGUUUUGUUAUUUGCCACUGAGAAAUGGUUCAUCCCUAGAAGAUUGUGGUAUUUCUGGCCAUACGCAGGAAAGGUGCCACAGAUGCUCAAGUAUAGGCAUCAGCUACCACCCCAUCUGCUGGUGGUGCUCAUACUUCUCCGGGAUACCUCCCCUCCAGUCUCCUCCACCCCUACAGGGUCAGCACUGCUCUUAAGCCUUGAAGUGUCACAUCUGCAUGGCAGCUGCCAGCAAAAGGGAGAAAAAUCUCUGUAUCCCUUCAGGUGACACUAGUUGCUGUAUGGAUAAACACCUAAAUCUCACUUGGCUGAACACAAUAAAAGUUUAUCUGGUGCUCACAGCACUGCCCAGUGGGGAGUCAGCUCCACACAGUCAUUCGUAAA
ensembl:lncRNA LINC02702 long intergenic non-protein coding RNA 2702